rnacentral:rRNA from 1 species
GACGAACGCUGGCGGCGUGCCUAAUACAUGCAAGUUGAGCGCUGAAGGUUGGUACUUGUACCGACUGGAUGAGCAGCGAACGGGUGAGUAACGCGUGGGGAAUCUGCCUUUGAGCGGGGGACAACAUUUGGAAACGAAUGCUAAUACCGCAUAAAAACUUUAAACACAAGUUUUAAGUUUGAAAGAUGCAAUUGCAUCACUCAAAGAUGAUCCCGCGCUGUAUUAGCUAGUUGGUGAGGUAAAGGCUCACCAAGGCGAUGAUACAUAGCCGACCUGAGAGGGUGAUCGGCCACAUUGGGACUGAGACACGGCCCAAACUCCUACGGGAGGCAGCAGUAGGGAAUCUUCGGCAAUGGACGAAAGUCUGACCGAGCAACGCCGCGUGAGUGAAGAAGGUUUUCGGAUCGUAAAACUCUGUUGGUAGAGAAGAACGUUGGUGAGAGUGGAAAGCUCAUCAAGUGACGGUAACUACCCAGAAAGGGACGGCUAACUACGUG